UCUAUUCUCAUAAGAUGAUCUUGGAUUUGUUCCUUUACCACAGACUUUUUAGUGCAGUCCUGAUUUCUGUAUUAAUGAAUUGAGAAGAUGACAUCAGGCUCUUAGAAGGAAGAUGGAGGGGGGCUGGAGCCUGGAAAGGCAAACUGUGUGACAACAACAGCCACCUAGUGAAGGAAAGAGAAACAAGGAAGAUGCUUUCACAUGUGGAACAGGCAAAGAAAACUAUAGAUUCUCAGAGCUGCUGCUUUUCCUGUACCAUCCUCUUAUCACAUCCUCCCAGCUCAGAACAGUCGCUCUUCCAGGAUGAGCCAAGCACACAACAAAAUCCAAGCUGUGGUUCACACUAACACCGCGUUGAAGUCCUAAUACUGAAGAGAAGGCAAGUCUUGAGGGUAUUGUGCCCAUAGAUAAUUGGAAAAGCUGAAGAACAUUGUUGUAUACAUUCUAAAAAGAACUGAUAUUCAGCUAUAUGAACCACAAUUGAUUUUAAUUUUGUAACGAAAUAGGCAGCCUGAGAUUUUGAUCCUAUUUUAGAACCUGCCAAUAGGUAACAUUCCUGCACUGGAAACUGAGCUGAG
rnacentral:lncRNA from 1 species